rnacentral:rRNA from 1 species
GAUGAACGCUAGCGGCAGGCUUAAUACAUGCAAGUCGAGGGGCAACAGGGGUAGCAAUACCUGCUGGCGACCGGCAAACGGGUGCGGAACACGUACAGAACCUUCCUCUGAGUGGGAGAUAGCCCGGAGAAAUCCGGAUUGACACCCCAUAGUAUUGUUGUGUGGCAUCACAUAAUAAUUAAAGAUUUAUUGCUCAGAGAUGGCUGUGCGGCUGAUUAGGUAGUUGGCGGGGUAAAGGCCCACCAAGCCAUCGAUCAGUAACUGGUGUGAGAGCACGACCAGUCACACGGGCACUGAGACACGGGCCCGACUCCUACGGGAGGCAGCAGUAAGGAAUAUUGGUCAAUGGAGGCAACUCUGAACCAGCCAUGCCGCGUGAAGGAUGAAGGUCCUCUGGAUUGUAAACUUCUUUUAUGUGGGAAGAAACCGAUACAUUCUUGUGUCGUUGACGGUACCAUAGGAAUAAGCACCGGCUAACUCCGUGCCAGCAGCCGCGGUAAUACGGAGGGUGCAAGCGUUAUCCGGAUUCACUGGGUUUAAAGGGUGCGUAGGUGGGAAUGUAAGUCAGUGGUGAAAUCUCCGUGCUUAACACGGAAACUGCCAUUGAUACUAUGUUUCUUGAAUUUUCUGGAGGUUAGCGGAAUAUGUCAUGUAGCGGUGAAAUGCUUAGAUAUGACAUAGAACACCAAUUGCGAAGGCAGCUAACUACAGGGAUAUUGACACUGAGGCACGAAAGCGUGGGGAUCAAACAGGAUUAGAUACCCUGGUAGUCCACGCCCUAAACGAUGGAUACUCGACAUUUGUGAUAGACAAUAAGUGUCUGAGCGAAAGCAUUAAGUAUCCCACCUGGGAAGUACGACCGCAAGGUUG